rnacentral:tRNA from 1 species
CAGAAGUUAGUUAAAUUUAUAACAUAAAUUUGUCAAUUUUAAAUCGUCAUUCGACACUUCUUA